rnacentral:rRNA from 1 species
GACGAACGCUGGCGGCGUGCUUAACACAUGCAAGUCGAACGGAAAGGCCUCUUUCGGGGGGUACUCGAGUGGCGAACGGGUGAGUAACACGUGAGUAACCUGCCCUUGACUUUGGGAUAACUUCAGGAAACUGGGGCUAAUACCUGAUAGGAGCUCCUGCUGCAUGGUGGGGGUUGGAAAGUUUCGGCGGUUGGGGGUGGACUCGCGGCUUAUCAGCUUGUUGGUGGGGUAGUGGCUUACCAAGGCCUUGACGGGUAGCCGGCCUGUGAGGGUGACAGGCCACAUUGGGACUGAGGUACGGCCCCGACUCCUACGGGAGGCAGCAGUGGGGAAUAUUGCACAAUCGGUGGCAGCCUGAUGCAGCAACGCCGUGUGCGGGAUGACGGCCUUCGGGUUGUAAACCGCUUUCGCUCAUGACGAAGCUUUGUGUGACGGUAGUGGGUAAAGAAGCACCGGCUAACUACGUG